UUCCGGUUGAUCCUGCCGGAGGUCAUUGCUAUUGGGAUUCGAGUUAGCCAUGCUAGUUGUACGAGUUUAUACUCGUAGCGGAAAGCUCAGUAACACGUGGUCAAACUACCCUGUAGACCGUCAUAACCUCGGGAAACUGAGGCUAAUAACGGAUACGCAACAGCAGUUGGAAUACGCUGUUGAGAAAACGCUCAGGCGCUACAGGAUGUGGCUGCGGCCGAUUAGGUAGACGGUGGGGUAACGGCCCACCGUGCCAAUAAUCGGUACGGGUUGUGAGAGCAAGAGCCCGGAGACGGAAUCUGAGACAAGAUUCCGGGCCCUACGGGGCGCAGCAGGCGCGAAACCUUUACACUGCACGCCAGUGCGAUAGGGGGAUCCCAAGUGCGAGGGCAUAUUAGCCCUCGCUUUUGUGUACCGUAAGGCGGUACACGAAUAAGAGCUGGGCAAGACCGGUGCCAGCCGCCGCGGUAAUACCGGCAGCUCGAGUGAUGACCGAUUUUAUUGGGCCUAAAGCGUCCGUAGCUGGCCGUACAAGUCCGUCGGGAAAUCUACCUGCCCAACAGGUAGGCGUCCGGCAGAAACUGUAUGGCUUGGAACCGGAAGGCGUGAAGGGUACGUCUGGGGUAGGAGUGAAAUCCUGUAAUCCCAGACGGACCACCGAUGGCGAAAGCACUUCACGAGGACGGAUUCGACAGUGAGGGACGAAAGCUAGGGUCUCGAACCGGAUUAGAUACCCGGGUAGUCCUAGCCGUAAACGAUGUCUGUUAGGUGUGACUCCCACUACGAGUGGGUGUUGUGCCGUAGGGAAGCCGCUAAACAGACCGCCUGGGAAGUA
rnacentral:rRNA from 1 species